rnacentral:rRNA from 1 species
UACAGAGGGUGCGAGCGUUGUUCGGAAUUACUGGGCGUAAAGGGCUCGUAGGCGGCCAACUAAGUCAGACGUGAAAUCCCUCGGCUUAACCGGGGAACUGCGUCUGAUACUGGAUGGCUUGAGUUUGGGAGAGGGAUGCGGAAUUCCAGGUGUAGCGGUGAAAUGCGUAGAUAUCUGGAGGAACACCGGUGGCGAAGGCGGCAUCCUGGACCAACACUGACGCUGAGGAGCGAAAGCCAGGGGAGCAAACGGG